GCGGUUAUACUUAUUCUUCAACUUAAAAAUUAUAAGUGAAAUGAUUUUAAUAUGUUUGUCCAAUUAAAAAAAAAUAAUUUAGGAUUUCAGAAAUUAAAAAUUAAAUUGGAUUAGUACCCAAGUAAAAAAAUGAAUUGGGUGAGGUAAUACCUAAAUUAAAUGGCAGUAUUUUUUUUUAAGCAGAGAAACUUGAAAUUUAGAAAUUCCACUUUAUUGUUAAUUUUAUAAAUGUUUAAGUAUGGUUGUCUAAAGAUAAAUUUUUAUUUAAAUUUUAAGUCAAGCAACAUUUAACUUAUAAAAAAAUUUUGAGUUGCAAAAAAUAUAUUAUGAAAACUUAUAAAAUUUAGGAUUUGCAAGUAAAAAUAAUUUUUGAAAUUAUAACUUAAGUACA
rnacentral:rRNA from 1 species